CCCACGGGGACAGUAACCAAAACUGGCUAGGGAGGAGGAAACAAUUCCCCCUUGUCCUCCCCCCCCCUUCCACCUCCUUGUUCAUCAGCUGUCACGCUGUUCGUAGUUAGACUAAAAGAAACAUUCCCCGUGGAAAGAAAUAGUCCUUCCCAGGCCACUCCGAACUAAUCCGAGAUGGGGGCAGGGGCGAGAUGGAGGAAACACAAUAGGGAGAGUAGCCAGUGGAUGCUUCAACGUUGCGAUGGACUUCCCAGCCAGAUCAGAAAAGAGAGACACGGGGAAGGGACCUCUAGGGGACUUUGUGUCUGCAAACUCGGUGACCACAGCCGGCACCACGGCUACUGACAAAAAGUGACAUUGCUGGAUUCCUGCAUCCCCGAGCUGUGGAGCCAGGCAAAAGAGUCCACCCACAGGCGUGGGAAGGGAAGUAAAUGGGGACGGCAGGGGAAGGGGACUGUAGAGUCGAAGAAAGAAAUAAUAAGCUCAAACGUCUAGAGCGGCUUAGCAAAGUCUAAAGCACUUUACCCCGAGCAGCCCUGCAAGGAAGAGUUGGAAUGGCCCUCGGAUGUUGUAAAUGGUAUAUCACUUUUAGAGUCCAGGCUGGUCUGUGCCACAAAAGCCCCAUCCACUUCUUCCAGUGAAACAGCAUCUUCAACACAGCACACUGAAAAUGCAGAUGACCCAAAAGGCAAUGGAAAAAAUUCAUGGUUGCCAUGAACAAGAAAUUCAUCAUUAAGUGACUGCCUUAUCAUGGAUGAGCCUCUCCAUACUUCAGUUAGAUGGACCUGAGAAAACUGCCACAGUCUGUUACUGGGACAAUACGCAAAACCUUUCCAGCAUAACGCAACCUUUCAAUGCUUAUACUCUAUUGGCAAAGCCAUCAGGAAUCAAACAUCACCUCUACACCAUGACAGAGUAGAAUUGGAGUAGGAUUUUGCAGAGCACUAACAUAGAAUAUGUGGAAUUCUUAUCAGCUUAACAAUUUUGGAAGCUAUUUGUUAACUAAUUUGCUUUUAUUUUUGUACAUAA